ensembl:lncRNA
GGGGAGGGACUCAGACUUACACAUCCUCUUUGUACCUUGUUUGCUGCUGGGAUUAGAAUUUAGGGGAGUGAAGUUCAGGGACUAAUCUAAGGCCUCCCAGCCAAAGGUCAUCUAGCCACAGCCCAAACAAAGGGGCUUCUGACAUGGUCCUAGGUGGUACUGAGACCAAGCCUGCAGAGACUGGACCCUGUGAGAGAGGCAAGGCAAGGCCCCAGGGCACUGCAGGCUGUUCAGGUGAGGGCAUCUCAUGCCACCGUGGAACCAGGAGCUCCCAAUGUCCCCGUUCUGUUAGCAGUGUCUGAUUGUUGAGUGUCUAAUUGCUCACUUCUCCAAAGCCAGCUCUGGCUCAGAACCCUGGGUGCUGAGACACUGCCUUUGGUGAGCAUGAGCUGCUCAGGAGCUUUAGAGGGACUCCUGCUGAACUGGGGGGCCUCUCUCUGCAAUGCCUUCUGCCCUGUCUGCCUGCCUGACUCCCACAUGUAUCUCUAUGGGCUAGUAGCCUGGUCGAGUGAGGCUCCCCUCUGUGCCUGUCCAGCUUGGCACCAGCUAAUGAUUGUGUCCAGGAGCUCUGGACCUACCUCUUUCUAGACCAAGGAGUCCUCAAAGGCAGGGCCUGCUGGGAGCCUCCCUGUGACCCCUGCAGUACCAGCACAGGCAUUCGUGCCAUGAGUUGACUAGAACUGAAGAGAAGGGAGAAGCUUCCUGGGGGUGAGCAAGAGGAGGCCUGAGAGCCCAGGAAUAAUGGGAAAAUAGUAAUGGCCCAGGGCUAAAGGAAUCCUCCAGAAUCCGAGUUCUGUGGAUCCAGGUUGGCCUGGGACUGCCUGAGGAUGGGGCAGGCCCUGCCCAGAGGUCUCUUGGAGCCAGCCUCCAGCACCUCCUCAGCCUGACCUUCCUCCUUCAGUGUUUAGACCUGAGAGAGCAGGCUACGGGUCACGUAGGUCAGCCCUGGAUUGCUUACACAAGUGGGCCAAGACUCCAAGACGGGUUGAGAUUUGGCCAAGGUCUUUGAAGAAGGAAUGCCCAUUCUUGAAAGAAGAGCUAUUACAACUUCUGUCUCCUUCUAGAGUCUUCUUUCCAGCUCUUCCUAGAAAAGCAUGGCCCUCUUAGUCAUUCUCAGGCUCCUGUGCUGAGAACAGGAGUGAGGAAGGGAAGCUCACAAGAAUGAAGCACCCACUGGCCACUGGAGAUCAGAUGGGCACUAUUAUAUAUGUUGGAUAGUAUUCCUCCAAAAAAUAUGUUGAAGUCCCAACACCCAGUGCCUGUGAAUGUGACCUUAUUGGGAAUGAGAAUCUUUGUAGAUAUAAUCAAGUUAAUAUGAGAUCAUUAGAGUGGGCACUAAUCCAACAUGAUGGUGUCCUCAUAAGGAGAGACAGAGACACAGACACAUGUGGGAAGACAGUCACGUGGAGAUGGAGGCAGAGACUGGAGUGAUGCAGCCACAAGCCAAGAACACCUGGGGCUACCAGAAGCUGGAGGAGACAAGGAUCCUCCUCUAGAGGCUCCUGAAGGAGCAUGGCCCUAAUGAUACCUUAUUCUUAGACUACCGGCCCCAGAACUGGGAGAUAAUUCAUUUCUGUUGUUUCCAGCCCCCCAAUUUGUGGUACUUUGUUCCAGCUACCCUAGCAAACUCAUACAGACACUUUCACAAAUGUCUCACAACAGCCUCGCAGCCAGGCAGAGGUGGCAGCAUCAGCCCCGUCUUCUCAUUCUAAUGUCAGCUUCUUGCAUUACCUCUCCAGGCUUGCCACCACCCCAACUGUGAAUAAACAGUGCUCCUCAUCUUCAAAGCCCUUUGGAAAUACUAAUUAACUCUCGGCUAAUUAGAUGAAAGAACGUGAAGCUCUAAUGACAUCAUCUCCAUUCUGUGCCCAGAUCUAGCCACAGGCGAAAUCUGGGACUGCUGGGCUAUAAGCCUUGUCUUGUGGAAACAUGUUGUGCCCACGAAACAUGGCCGGGGAUGGCUUUCCACUCACUUUAGCUCCAUGGGCUUCAGAAAACAGCCAGCUGUGGGCAUACUUGGCCAAUCAAGCAUGCAUAACACAAACGGUUUCUGUGAUUAAGAGUUUGUGUGGGUGUGUGUGCGCGUGUGUGUGAAUCACAUACCUUUGCACUCUGCACAUCACCGAGAUUGUCUUAUUGGCCGUUCUAAACAGAAGCUUACAAAAACAUGUGUACUUUCAAAUAUUCCUCAGAAUGCCACCCUGUGAUCCUGAGGGCCUGUGUACCCCCUGCCUUGUAGAACCAAGAAGAAUCCCUCUGCGUCCAGGGCCCCAGGGGGUGAGCAUCAGUUUUUCUGGGCAAGUAGCUGCGUGCGAGGCCUGGAGGCAGGAGUCUGCAAGUCAGAGGCCGUCUGAGCCAGGAGCCAGAGCUGAGAGAGAUUCUGACCAAGGCCAGAGGGCGUGAGGAGGAGGCGCAGGGCUGGGGCUGUCCCCACCACAGCAGGGUCUUUGGUGGACAGACAGUAGGCAUGCUGCAGUGGACAGAAGCAGGAGACGAGGGUUAGAAUCCUGCCUUUGACUGUGCCACUCAUUCACCUGGACGACAGUGACAGGCCCAUUCCAGGUCUCCCUGACUCCAUGCGGUCUCUCCAUCCUCUACCCUAUGGCCAGAAGCACCAUCCAUGCACCAGGCAGAUCUGCUCCUGGCACUGAACACUAAAAUCCUCACCCGUGUGUCCCAGGGGAUGGACUUGAACAUGACGGGUACUACAAUGACCGUCUUUGUUCAAUAACAAAGAAAGAAAGAAAGGCCAUUCCUGCUCAGUUAUCUUUCAAUCCUUCAGAUCCUGAAAAAAAAA